UGGUUUCUUCUCUUAUUUUCGGUGUGAAUUCGAAUCUCGAAACUCGAAUUUUAGUGGCCGGAGAGAUUCUUGACGUCGGAGCUCCGAUUUACUGCCCAACAAAAGGUAAAAUACAUCUUUUUUCUCGCUUUUCAUCUUCUUUCCUUCUUCCGUCUAUUUCUAUCCUAUGAGUAUGUGAUUCUUGAGUUCAUGUUGUUGUUGUGGUUUUCGGACCCUGGGAGAAAUACAACUCUUGGUUCUAAAGUAGUUUGUGUAUGUAUAGUAUAUUUUGAUUUGAAGUCUGGUUAUGAUGUCGUACGUUUGCUUUCCGCAUACUGAAGAUCGAAUUUUAUUUCUUCCAAAAAUGGAUUUGAAAAAUGGUGAUAGCAAAUAGUGUAAAAAAAAUUGCUCUAUUUCCUUUGUUUUCCAUUCAUCUGAGUUUUUGUGGAUAUGCUUGUGUUUAUCCUACUUUGGUUUUACUUUUUUCUUUCUUCAUCUGGGUUGUAUCUUAUUGAAUAUGUAAAUACGUGAGCAUGAAGCUUGUUUUCUUUAGAGUUUAUAUCAGAUUGUUGUCCCCUGUUUUGAGUUUGAAUACUUGAUUUUGUCUCAGAUUUUUAUUUUUUUUAUUGUGGUUCUGUGCCCAAAAUAUUCAAGACUAUAAACUAGCCUCUUUUAUUUCAUCUCCAUCUCCUUUCAUUUGGACUGAUUUUGUGAGUACGCGGGAUAUUUUAAUUUUAAAAUUAUACGUGAAAAUGACUGUCUUAUUUUAUUUUUACCCACUUUGUCUCACGUGGUGAUUACGUGCAUCUAUUGUGAAUUUGAAAAAGUACUAUUUGAGGUGUAAUUUUCUUUGUAGUCAUGUUUGCAGGUAUGGUUUCAUUGCUAGUAUUGAUUAAAUUUUUCAUUUUUAAGUUAAAUCAAGGGUUUGAUUUUAAUCCAAAUCAUGAUUUGCUCUUUUCCUUAGGAUUGUUAAAGUUAGCUGGGAUAAAAUAAGCAAAAGAUUUAGUCCAAGUUUUAAAUAUUUGGAGUACAAUUGUGUUAGUUUGUGGGUGUCAGAGGGGGAGCCAGAAUUUCAAUUGAGGGGGUUUGAUAUUCAAAGAAAACUUAGUCGAAGGGGGUUCAACACCUACUAUAACCACAUAAACAAUAAUUUUAAUCAUGUAUAUAAAUAGUAUAUUUUUUCGUCGAAGUGGGUUAGGCCGAACCCCCUAAAGGAGGCUAGCUCCGCCUCUGUUGGGUGUGCAUCCCUGUUACAUGUUUGUAUUUCUAGAAAAUAGCUGUACAUGUGUGUUAAAUCUUAAAUUCAUGUUCUGUUCUUUGUCAUCCUUAUAUUAUGCUUCGUCAGUUCAUUCGGGACUCGGGAUAUUCCUAAUUCUAUAUCUUUUUUUUUGCAUGAACUCGGGAGUUGGAGUUUCAAUGAAAACUCGGCUUUGAUCCGAAGAAAGGGUCGACGACUAUAGGAUCGCAGAGCUCGGGUAUAAAUCACUAGGAGCUGAGUCCUUCGAUAGAAAAGCUAUAGUAUCGAGUUUUCUACCUUCCUUGUUACUUUAUUAUUCACAUUUGUUUCACUAACUUUUGUUACUUGAAUAUGUUUCUUUUUGUGGCUUUUAUUGAAAUCGAU
rnacentral:lncRNA from 1 species